ensembl:lncRNA
CUGGGAAGCGGCCUCAGCUCGCUUGGGGAGGAGGUGGCUGUGGGCAGGUGGUCGCCGGCCUCGAGCGGUCGGGCCUGGCUUCUCCGCUACGGGCUGUUGUUCCCUACAUGGCUGGGCGAGUGGACGAGACCGGGACGCCACCCCACACGCAGCGGUGUUCCUUCCCCAGUGUCCGCGUAGAAUUACCGUCUUGGGGCUCUGGGAGGCGACCUGGUGGGACGAGGGCCCACGGGGUUCUGUUAACACUGUUCCGUGGGCCAGGGCAGGAGAAGAAAGGUCCAAGAACAGGAGUCCCUGGACAGACGUGUUAAACCUCUGGAAACAUGACAGAUUUUGGCUUAUCAGUGGAAACACAAGUGUAAAAACAGAUGUGUCACCCUUUGUGCGUUUCUGGCGGACGUAAAAUGGUGCCGCCAUUUUGGAAAACAGUCUGGUGGUUCCUCAAAAUUAGAGAUUUACAUGGACCCAGAAUUACCAUAUGACCCAGCAAUUCCACUUCUGGGUGUAUACCCUGUUAAAUAGCAAAAAAUGAAUGGAGUAAUUUAAAAGAUCAAAUUGGCUUUAUUGAAUGGGGCAGGCCCCAUGACCUAGUGGUUAAGUUCAGCCUGUGGCAGCCAUGCUGUGGCAGUGACCGACAUACAAAAUAGAGGAAGAUUGGCACAGAUGUUAGCUCAGGGCAAAUCUUCCUCAAAGGAAAUUAUUAGCAAAGAAAGCAUUGUUUUAGGCAAGGUCUCCCUUCUAGGGGUGUAACUGAGCAAAAUAGGGCUCGUUCUGCUCACCGCAAUCUGGUGCCAAUCAAUUGGAAACAAGCCAGUGGUUGAGAAAGGAAAAUUUACAUGAUUAGCCAGCAUAAUUGGAAGAUGGUGGACUAGUGUCCUGAAGAACCAUCUUAGAAUCAUACAGAAUCUUGAGGCAGUUGCAUAGGGGAAAGGGCAGGGAAGGGUGGGGGGGGGUUAGGGAUAUCAAUUAUCCAGUGUGGUGAACUUCAAGGCACCACAUUAUCUCUUUCUUCUGUCAUUUGUGAUGGGUACCAGUGCAGAAUUUUUCUUUCUGGAGGUUGUCAUGUUCCUGAGGAACUCUGAGAAGAAACUUAUCACAGCUGAGAGAUAUAUACCAAGAACUUAUCAUCAUACUCCACCUGCAACACCUACAGAUUUGGGUGAAUUCCUCUCUUCCCAAGGUCCCCAAAAUAUCCUGGGGUUCCUGCACCUGCCAGGGAAGUGACCUUCCUUAUUAACCAGAAUCCUGUAACCAGCACCAUGUGAAUGAGCCAGGGCUGGCCUGCUGGAGGACGGACAUCACACGCCCAGCUAAUACCACUGACCAUCCUGACAGCCAGCCAUCUACCAAACACGUGAGGCCAAAAAUUGCCAGCUAACCACAAAGUCAAUGAACCCAAGUGAUACCACACGGAGCAGAGAUGAACCAUCUCGGCUGCUCCCAGCCUGAAUGUCAUAAUUUAGGGCAAGUCACAUAAUUAUGAGAAAAUCAAUGGAUGUUGUUUAUGCCACUAAGUUUUCGGGUGAUUCCCUUUUUUUUUUCAAGUGUUUUUUUUUUUUUUUUCCUGAGGAAGAUUCGCUCUGAGCUAACACCUGUGGCCAAUCUUCCUCUUUUUGGUUGAGGAAUAUUCACCCUGAGCUAACAUCUUGCCAGUCUUCCUCUAUUUCAUAUGUGGGUCACCGGCACAGAAUGGCUGCUGACAAGUGGUGUAGUUCUGAGUCCAGGAACUGAACCUGGGCCGCCAAAGCAGAGGGUGCCAAACUUAACCAGUAGGCCACGGGGCUGGCCUCUAGGGUGACUUCUUACACUGCACAAACUGGCGGCUGCAUGGGUCUAGCACUGAGCCUGUUGUCUUCUGUGCUAGACGAGCUCUCUGCUCCUAGACUCCAGUCGCCAGGUGGCGGAGAGGAGAGCCGAGCCACUUGCUGAGAGGAGGCAGGGACUGUGGCUUUGUCUCCUGGGGUUGUGAGACUAUAAAUGGGAUGUAAGUGCUGUCACAGUUAACUUGCUAAAACUGAUCUUGACAGUUACACUUAAAACUCUUCAACACUCAUCAAACUGGCAAAGAUGAAAACAAUCCGCCUUCAGCACUGGCGAGGGGGGAGCAGAGGCUCCCUGACACUCUUCACUCUGAUGCUGGCAGAGCCUUUCUGAAGGGCAAUUUACAACACGUGCCAAGACCUUAAAUACCUUUUUUUUUUUUUGAAAGAGAUUAGCCCUGAGCUAACAUCUGCUGCCAAUCCUCCUCUUUUUGCUGAGGAAGGCUGGCCCUGAGCUAACAUCCAUGCCCAUCUUCCUCUACUUUAUACUUGGGACGCCUACCACAGCAUGGCUUUUGCCAAGCGGUGCCAUGUCCACACCCGGGAUCUGAACUGGCGAACCCCGGGCCACCGAAACAGAACAUGCGAACUUAACUGCUACGCCACCGGGCCGGCCCAUUGAAUACCUUUUGAGCAAUUUCACUUUUAGGAAUCCCCCAAAGGAAAUAACAAACCACAUGCAAGAACUUAUGAACAAAAAAUAUUGAGCACUGCGUUCUUUAUGAAUACCAGACAAAAAUGUUUAGCAUGUCUAUAGCCAUUUCCCGAAUGCCAGGCCUUGUUCUAGUGUUAACACAUAUGGACACAUUGAAGCCUCAUAACAGCCCUCUCAGGCGUCAUUUCCAUCUCAGGGGUGAGCAAAUGAGUGCACAGUGAGUCAAUCUCUCCUCUCAAAUCUGGCAGGACAGCCACACCCUCCCGAGACUCCUGCACAUCCUGGACCGUCUACUCCCUGGCCAUCUCUCCUCCAGUGGUCUCGUCUUGCUAACUGCCUGCUAUCCCUACCAUCUCUGUCUGUCUUCCUUCUCCCACAGCCUGCCCACAUGCAGGUCUGGGGUGGUAGAAAGGAUUUCCAUUACAGACAUUCCACAAACAAAAGAACCGGGUGUCAGACAUCCCAGCCGUGGGAAGUCCACUGAGAUGGGCUUCUCCUCUUCCUCACUGGGAGGCUUUCUCUCACCCUACCCACCCUGCUCUCCCCCACCUAGCUUCCAGCUCUUUUCCUAUGCAGAGGGUUUCUCUCUAUGUAGCCUGAGCAGCUUCCUCCUUCCUGAACUGCAAGCUGUGCCUCCCGACCACCCCACCCAGGUAAGCCCUGGGCCUUGCCACACCCCACUUCUCUCCAGCCCUACCACCUAAGGCUACGCAAGUGCACCAGCCUCUCUGAAGGGGGUGGAGGAGUAACUAAAAGGAAUGCAACGUAGCCACACCAAACACACUUAUCAGAGGGACAUGCACAAAAUGUCAAAUCCCACCUGGGUAUUAUCUGCCCCCCUGUCUCUAUGCCCUGCAAAGGUAUCUGCCUCCCUGCUCCACCGACCCAGCCUGCACCCACUCUUGGGGGAAUUUCCCCCUCCUGCCAUCUCCUUCCCUCUAGAAGGUCUACACAGGAGUCAGGUGACCUGACUCACCAGGCCCUCAGGUGGGCACAGGUGGUUGGCAGGCUGGGACCAUUACCUAACCAUGGAUGCCCCCCUCACCUUUUAUCCUGGAGGAGGGCAAACAGGAAGUGACUGGGGAACAGAACUACCCUCGAGGACCCUGUGGGUCCCCCCUUCACCCCAGCAUCACACACACACCCUGACCCUCACUUGCAGAGCGUGACCCUCAGACUCUCUGAGCCAGAUCCUGUUGGAAGAAAAGUUUAUGAGUCUACUGUUUC